AUUGAACGCUGGCGGCAUGCCUUACACAUGCAAGUCGAACGGCAGCACGGGAGCAAUCCUGGUGGCGAGUGGCGAACGGGUGAGUAAUAUAUCGGAACGUGCCCAGUCGUGGGGGAUAACGCAGCGAAAGCUGUGCUAAUACCGCAUACGAUCUAUGGAUGAAAGCGGGGGAUCGCAAGACCUCGCGCGACUGGAGCGGC
rnacentral:rRNA from 1 species